UGGGGAAUUUUGGACAAUGGGCGCAAGCCUGAUCCAGCCAUGCCGCGUGCGGGAAGAAGGCCUUCGGGUUGUAAACCGCUUUUGUCAGGGAAGAAAUCUUCUGAGUUAAUACCUCGGGAGGAUGACGGUACCUGAAGAAUAAGCACCGGCUAACUACGUGCCAGCAGCCGCGGUAAUACGUAGGGUGCAAGCGUUAAUCGGAAUUACUGGGCGUAAAGCGUGCGCAGGCGGUUUUGUAAGACAGAGGUGAAAUCCCCGGGCUCAACCUGGGAACUGCCUUUGUGACUGCAAGGCUUGAGUGCGGCAGAGGGGGAUGGAAUUCCGCGUGUAGCAGUGAAAUGCGUAGAUAUGCGGAGGAACACCGAUGGCGAAGGCAAUCCCCUGGGCCUGCACUGACGCUCAUGCACGAAAGCGUGGGGAGCAAACAGGAUUAGAUAGCCCUGGUAGUCCACGCCCUAAACGAUGUCAACUGGUUGUUGGGAAGGUUCCUUCUCAGUAACGUAGCUAACGCGUGAAGUUGACCGCCUGGGGAGUACGGCCGCAAGGUUGAAACUUAAAUGAAUUGACGGGGU
rnacentral:rRNA from 1 species